rnacentral:hammerhead_ribozyme from 1 species
ACCUUACUGACGAGUGUCAACAGCACGAAACUCGGGUCCAAGGU